GAUGAAGAACGUAGCGAAAUGCGAUAAGUAGUGUGAAUUGCAGAAUUCAGUGAAUCAUCGAAUCUUUGAACGCACAUUGCGCCCUUUGGUAUUCCAAAGGGCAUGCCUGUUCGAGCGUCAUUUGUACCCUCAAGCUUUGCUUGGUGUUGGGACUCGCGUUAAUUCGCGUUCCCCAAAUUGAUUGGCGGUCACGUCGAGCUUCCAUAGCGUAGUAGUAAAACCCUCGUUACUGGUAAUCGUCGCGGCCACGCCGUUAAACCCCAACUUCUGAAUGUUGACCUCGGAUCAGGUAGGAAUACCCGCUGAACUUAAGCAUAUCAAUAAGCGGAGGA
rnacentral:misc_RNA from 1 species